UACCGAGGGGGCAAGCGUUAUUCGGAAUUAUUGGGCGUAAAGGGCGCGUAGGCGGCCUGGCAAGUCGAAGGUGAAAUCCCUCGGCUUAACCGAGGAACUGCCUUCCAAACUGCUUGGCUUGAGUCCGGGAGAGGUGAGUGGAAUUCCCAGUGUAGCGGUGAAAUGCGUAGAUAUUGGGAGGAACACCAGUGGCGAAGGCGGCUCACUGGACCGGAACUGACGCUGAUGCGCGAAAGCGUGGGGAGCAAACGGG
rnacentral:rRNA from 1 species